GCAAGAUUCUGUGUGACUUACCCAGUUUUUUCCUUCCCUCCACCUUCUGUUGAACCAAAGAUAAAUCUUACAUUUGAAAAACACUUAAUACAUAGUGAUAAAUAUCAAUAUCAUUCACUAUUUUCAGACCUUACUUGUAAUAGGGUAAUAACUUGAUUUUUAGUAAAUCAGAGACCAUCAAGUACUGAAAGCCAAAGUUGUUCUUAUGUCAACACAGGCCAAGGGUAAUGAAUUAAUCUGUCUUACUCUUUGUAAAUAAUUUGCUGAUUAAUAAACCUUAACAUCACACAAUUUAUAACAUACUGAGCUUGAUUUAUUAAUGCUUUACUUGAAGAAAAGACUAAUCUCUGUGACUACAUGUGGGUUGAGUAGGGGUAAGGUAUGCAAAAAAUCCCUUCUGAAACAUGAAAAAAAACAUGGCAUAUUUAUGACUACAUUUACACUAGAGCAAUCAACUAGAUAAUUGUUCUAUUGUGAACCAACCAUUAUAAUGAAGGUUAAUUGCCUGCGUAUGAACCAGAGCCAUAAGACAAGUGGGUACCUGGAGUUAAAUUGAACAUUUGGGUGCCAAGAUAUAGAGAAACACAGAGCCAACUUUCUGAUGAACAAUCUAAACCUACUAUCAAAAUCACUGGAGAUUUUAUUUGGCAAUAUAAUUGUUGUUCUAUAAAACAAAUGUUAGAAUUUAAAAGAAACUAGAAGAAAUUUUCAGUACAGAACAGAAACAUAAGACUUAAGCAAAGAUCACAAGAAAUUAAGAGCCUGCCUGUGUCCAUUUUUACUUCCUUUUGCAAUUUUUUGAAAUAGAAUAUAUGUAUAGAAAAAUUCACUAAAUGUAAAUACGCAGCCCAGUGAAAAACAAAUGUGCAUACAAUGCACCACUCAUGUCAAGAGAAAAAAUACCUCCACGUUCCCUAUUAAUCUUCUUUUAAAAUUGUGGUAUUUUCUUCAGCAUAGAUUUUAGCCUUAUUUUGAAUAUUUUUAUUGCAUUACAAUAAAUAACAUUUAUCUGGAUUACUUAGCUUUUUGAUUCCCCCUUAAAUUGUGUGCAUGGCCUACAUCAAUAAGCCCUCACCAACCCCUCCUUUUUUCCCUCUGGAAGUAAGCGCUAUCAUAAGUUUUGUAAUUACUUCCUUGCUUUUAAAAAUAACUGCCACUUAUGCAUGCAUCACUAAAUAAUGUAAAUUAGUUUUGUAUGCUGUCAAACUUUAUGCAUAUAUAUCUGUGUAUUUUUGUGCACAUUGUUGCAUUUUACUAUAUUUUGUCCAUUUGAUGGCUAUAUGACAGUCCAUUCUUUGAAUAUACUGCUAUUAAUUCUACUAAUUGGAUAUUAGGGUUAUAUUUAUUUGGAGUUUUUACAAAUAAUAUUCCCUGAACAUUCUUAUGUGUGAGAGUCCUGGUACACAAUAACAACAUUUUUAGGGUACGUAACUAGAAGUGAAAAAUGCUCGUCAUGAAGUUUGUAUAUUGUGAACUUUACUAGAUACUAUGUCCAUUUUUAGUGAAAUGAGAUGGAUUAUAGAUGAGAUUUUUAUUUUAAAAAAAUUAGAAUCUGGCACUAUGCUCAGAGCUAUCAAUAAGGUUCCACUGAAAGAGAAA
rnacentral:lncRNA from 10 species